AUGCAGACCAUAAAUUUGAGAUGAGCUAAGUGUUGAUGAUGGCCGAACCGGAGACGGGUGAUGGCUUACCCGAGACUUUGUUCUCAACCAAGCCGAGGAUGCCUCCACCACCCAAUGUUUUCACAAUAACUGUUAGACUUGCUUCUUAUGUCGCCAAGCUUGAUGAUGGAAGCGAGCAACCCGUCUUCAAGGCAGUCCCAAUCCAGUGACAAGAAGGAUGUUGGCUGCGGCGUUGGCUGAUGAGGAAACACAUGCAGCACCACAACUUGAAGUUGUUGCCACUCCCAGUAGGCACAUGAUCACUAUGCCACAUAGUCUUCAAGGCAGUCCCAAUCCUGUGACAAGAAGGAUGUUGACUAUGGCGUUGGCUGAUGAGGCGUCCCAGCAACCUACCACAACCGUUGGGAACACCAUGAUUGCAUAUGACAUGUCCUCGAGCUCAAGGGCUAGAAAGUUGACCCCGAAGAGAAGGAAGAGCUAGUGUUGUGAUUGAUCUUCUAUGUUCUCUAUGCUUUUAGUUAUAGUUUGCCAGACUUGCCAUCCUACUUUGUGUGGAACAAUGCAUCAAAUGUUUCCUUAUGUUUUUGGUUGUAAUAUGCCAGACUUGACACCUUAUGUUAGAUGAUGUAUGAAAAUGAAUGAUGUAUGGACAUGUGAAAUGCUUUAUUUUUCUAUACUGAGUUCAAGUGUGA